AUUCUACACUACUGUAAGUCGCUCUGGAUAAGAGCAUCUGCUAAAUGACAAAAA
rfam:Salmo salar isolate Sally breed double haploid chromosome ssa14, whole genome shotgun sequence.